GUAAUGUCUGGGAAACUGCCUGAUGGAGGGGGAUAACUACUGGAAACGGUGGCUAAUACCGCAUAACGUCGCAAGACCAAAGAGGGGGACCUUCGGGCCUCUUGCCAUCAGAUGUGCCCAGAUGGGAUUAGCUUGUUGGUGAGGUAACGGCUCACCAAGGCGACGAUCCCUAGCUGGUCUGAGAGGAUGACCAGCCACACUGGAACUGAGACACGGUCCAGACUCCUACGGGAGGCAGCAGUGGGGAAUAUUGCACAAUGGGCGCAAGCCUGAUGCAGCCAUGCCGCGUGUAUGAAGAAGGCCUUCGGGUUGUAAAGUACUUUCAGCGGGGAGGAAGGUGUUGUGGUUAAUAACCGCAGCAAUUGACGUUACCCGCAGAAGAAGCACCGGCUAACUCCGUGCCAGCAGCCGCGGUAAUACGGAGGGUGCAAGCGUUAAUCGGAAUUACUGGGCGUAAAGCGCACGCAGGCGGUCUGUCAAGUCGGAUGUGAAAUCCCCGGGCUCAACCUGGGAACUGCAUUCGAAACUGGCAGGCUUGAGUCUUGUAGAGGGGGGUAGAAUUCCAGGUGUAGCGGUGAAAUGCGUAGAGAUCUGGAGGAAUACCGGUGGCGAAGGCGGCCCCCUGGACAAAGACUGACGCUCAGGUGCGAAAGCGUGGGGAGCAAACAGGAUUAGAUACCCUGGUAGUCCACGCCGUAAACGAUGUCUACUUGGAGGUUGUGCCCUUGAGGCGUGGCUUCCGGAGCUAACGCGUUAAGUAGACCGCCUGGGGAGUACGGCCGCAAGGUUAAAACUCAAAUGAAUUGACGGGGGCCCGCACAAGCGGUGGAGCAUGUGGUUUAAUUCGAUGCAACGCGAAGAACCUUACCUGGUCUUGACAUCCACAGAACUUUCCAGAGAUGGAUUGGUGCCUUCGGGAACUGUGAGACAGGUGCUGCAUGGCUGUCGUCAGCUCGUGUUGUGAAAUGUUGGGUUAAGUCCCGCAACGAGCGCAACCCUUAUCCUUUGUUGCCAGCGGUCCGGCCGGGAACUCAAAGGAGACUGCCAGUGAUAAACUGGAGGAAGGUGGGGAUGACGUCAAGUCAUCAUGGCCCUUACGACCAGGGCUACACACGUGCUACAAUGGCGCAUACAAAGAGAAGCGACCUCGCGAGAGCAAGCGGACCUCAUAAAGUGCGUCGUAGUCCGGAUUGGAGUCUGCAACUCGACUCCAUGAAGUCGGAAUCGCUAGUAAUCGUGGAUCAGAAUGCCACGGUGAAUACGUUCCCGGGCCUUGUACACACCGCCCGUCACACCAUGGGAGUGGGUUGCAAAAGAAGUAGGUAGCUUAACCUUCGGGAGGGCGCUUACCACUUUGUGAUUCAUGACUGGGGUGAAGUCGUAACAAGGUAACCGUAGGGGAACCUGCGGUUGGAUCACCUCCUUACCUGAAAGAAGC
rnacentral:rRNA from 1 species